rnacentral:lncRNA from 1 species
UAAAUUUGGUAAGAUUAAAUGACUUGUAAAUAUAAAAUGGAGGCAAAGUACAUUUUUGUGAGGAGAUUGACUCUUUUCUCGUAAACGCUUUGAUACUUCAAGCUUUACCCAUACUGCAAAUGUUCAAAAUGCCACCUCUAGAAUCUCACCUAACACUAGCUUAAAUACUAGUUGAAAAUAAUCGUCUGGAGGUUACAAAACCAUCUCAUGAUGCCAUGCGUCGGUCCACUUCC